rnacentral:rRNA from 1 species
AGCGAACGCUGGCGGCAGGCCUAACACAUGCAAGUCGAACGAAGUCUUCGGACUUAGUGGCGGACGGGUGAGUAACACGUGGGAACGUACCUUUUGGUUCGGAACAACUCAGGGAAACUUGAGCUAAUACCGGAUGAGCCCUUAGGGGGAAAGAUUUAUCGCCGAAAGAGCGGCCCGCGUUAGAUUAGCUAGUUGGUGAGGUAAAGGCUCACCAAGGCUACGAUCUAUAGCUGGUCUGAGAGGAGGAUCAGCCACACUGGGACUGAGACACGGCCCAGACUCCUACGGGAGGCAGCAGUGGGGAAUCUUGCGCAAUGGGCGAAAGCCUGACGCAGCCAUGCCGCGUGAAUGAUGAAGGUCUUAGGAUUGUAAAAUUCUUUUACCAGGGACGAUAAUGACGGUACCUGGAGAAAAAGCCCCGGCUAACUUCGUGCCAGCAGCCGCGGUAAGAC